AGAUGUAAUCUUCAGAGACAUCUCAGUUAAUUCAUUCAUUAUGUCUAGAUAUGGAAGUUUGCUUAGUUUUGGUCUCAGCCUUUUGCACUGGUGGUUCAUACGACUUUGGGGCAGUUCAAAUACCAUGGUCAUUAAUAUUAGAGAGGGUCUCUCCAUCUUCCAACAUCAAAUCUUGAAUUGAAACUUGAUUGACGAUCUUUGGUAUACUUACUUACACCCACAUGUGUUAAGGUAGAUAAAGAAACUGUUUAUCUUGUGUCAUCACUGAAAUCCAUUAUUGCUGAAGAACAAGCCCAUGCAUCCUCUGAAUUUCCCAGUGAAAGACUUUUCCCCAGGACAAAAUAUAGGGUCAGGAAAUGUAACAUGAGCCAACUAUGAG
rnacentral:lncRNA from 1 species